rnacentral:lncRNA from 1 species
CUUCUCGUGAAGCUUGCUUCCUGUGUGUGUGAAACUCCAGGGAACAGGCAGACUGAUGGCAUAGGUAGAGGCGGCAACCCCCCACCACCAGGGAGGAAGACGAUGUCUCUGGACUCAACUCAGAGGUUCUCCGAAGAGAAAGACUUGUUUUUCUCCAGAGAGCAGAGAAGAUAUCUCACGUACCUCACUACACGGUAACCAGCCAGAAGAUGCUUCCAGGGGCUGCUGCUCUCUAAGUGAUGUGCACGGGUGGAGAAAGGAGAUGGGGCCUCAGCCCGACGACUGUUAGAGCACUCCCUUCCUCCUCCGGUGGGUGCCUAGAGGGCCAGAACUCAUGUGUCCGGAUUGCAGGAUUCCACUCAACUCCUUAGCUAGCCAUCAGUCUGCCCUUCUCAUUCCCUUCCAGCCCUUUUCUCUUUCAUCUCAGCUCAGCGAGCAGAGACACGUCCCCGCUGGAAGCUGCUGUUAAGAAAUGUGGCCACAACACAUGUGGACACACACAACACACACACACACACACACACACCUUUCUCAGUCUAUGAGCCUUUGUCUGGCCCUUUGCUCCUGGGCCUGACCCAUCUUUAUGAGAUCAAGGCUCUUUCUAUCCCAGGAUGCCGAACCCUGGCCUCCAAUGGGACAGAGCUGGUCAUUUUGCACGUCUCCAGCCUUGCCCUCCCUUGGGGGCUUGUGGAAGAUCCACCCAUAUGGCAGAACCUUCCAGAGAGACUCGAAACCAGGAGCCUGACCUCAUGAUGCCCGAAGCGCCUGGCACAGAAGAAGGAAGGGAAGGACUGAGGCGAUGAAGGACAAGUGAGCCAUUGCAGCCGCGCUCCCGAAUACAAGCACCCUUUGUUCUGUGGGAUAAAUACAAUCCUCAGUAUUUCAGCCGCGCAGCGCCGAGGAAGUAGAAAGGCAGCUUAUUCUCCGAGAUCCAAGACCCACGACUUAAAAACUUUUUGCCGAAAUCAAAGCCUUUGUGAAGCAUUACAUCUUGUUGUUUCGAGGCAGGAUCUCAGUGUGUAUCCCUGACUGUCCCGGAACGAACUGACUGCUCUUGAACUCACAGAGAUCCACCUGUGCUGGAACGAGAGGCGUGCGCCACGGUGUUUGGCUAAGGUAUCAGUCAC